rnacentral:rRNA from 1 species
UCAUCAACCCUGUGAACUUACCUAUACGUUGCUUCGGCGGGAAUAGACGGCCCCGUAAAACGGGCCGCCCCCGCCAGAGGACCCUUAAUUCUGUUUCUUUUAGUGUAUCUUCUGAGUAAAACAAGCAAAUAAAUUAAAACUUUCAACAACGGAUCUCUUGGCUCUGGCAUCGAUGAAGAACGCAGCGAAAUGCGAUAAGUAAUGUGAAUUGCAGAAUUCAGUGAAUCAUCGAAUCUUUGAACGCACAUUGCGCCCGCCAGUAUUCUGGCGGGCAUGCCUGUUCGAGCGUCAUUACAACCCUCAGGCCCCCGGGCCUGGCGUUGGGGAUCGGCGGAGCCCCCCGUGGGCACACGCCGUCCCUCAAAUACAGUGGCGGUCCCGCCGCAGCUUCCAUCGCGUAGUAGCUAACACCUCGCGACUGGAGAGCGGCGCGGCCACGCCGUAAAACACCCAACUCUUCUGAAGUUGACCUCGAAUCAGGUAGG